AAGCGGUGGAGCAUGUGGUUAAUUCGAUGAUACGCGAAGAACCUUACCGGGGUUUGACAUGCAGGUGAUCGCCGUUGAAAGACGGUUUCUCUUCGGAGGCACCUGCACAGGUGCUGCAUGGCUGUCGUCAGCUCGUGCCGUGAGGUGUCGGGUUAAGUCCCAUAACGAGCGCAACCCUUACCCUUAGUUGCCAGCGGGUAAUGCCGGGCACUCUAAGGGGACCGCCCCGGAUAACGGGGAGGAAGGCGGGAUGACGUCAAGUCAGCAUGGCCCUUAUGUCCAGGGCUACACACGUGCUACAAUGGGCGAUACAGAGGGAAGCAAGGCCGCAAGGUAGAGCUAAUCCCUAAAGUCGUCCUCAGUUCGAAUUGCAGGCUGCAACUCGCCUGCAUGAAGUCGGAAUCGCUAGUAAUCGCGGAUCAGCUACGCCGCGGUGAAUACGUUCUCGGGCCUU
rnacentral:rRNA from 1 species